UAGUCGGCACUCGGCAGCGGCAUUUUCCGCAACCGACCGGGUACCGGCGCGGCGGGGACUGCUCCGGCUAGGCCAUUUCAGCCGAUCAGCCGUCGCGGCGGCCAACCCGUACCGCGACGCAAAACAUCGGUCGAUCCAGCUCCGGAAGGAUCGGUUCCAGGCUCCGGUAAUCGCUGCGGCGUGUUGGCAGCACCGGGAAUCCGGCUCCGUUGCCAGCACAUUGCCUAUUAGUUUUCGGAAAUGAAGCGGUACUACCAGCCUGUGCCCAAAAGGAAUCGUGAAAGUGUUGGGGGCAUUAUUCCAGAACCUCACAUAAAGUUUACCCCAGGGAUUGGGGACGAAGUUGGUGCAACAAAGGGCGCCAUCAAUAGGGCAAGGCAGCAUCACAAAGGUUUUAACAGUCAAAGGCGAAGUGUGCCGCCUUCACUUGCUUCUGAUUGUUCGGAGAGUGGAAACCCUUUUGGAGUCUGUUUGCGUACUUCUUUGGACUGUGCAAGAUAUCUCUUGAGGCAAGGUAUACCCUUUUAUCACCUCGAUCCAUCUUACACAUGGGACAAGGGUCAUUUUCUGGAGAUGGUAGAUUGGUACAAAGGCUUCGAUGAGAAGGUGAGGCGUGCGUUUGAUGAGAUGGAUGCUGAUCAUCACAGCGAAUUGGCUUCUCGAGGGUUUCAGAAGGACCUUGUAAAAGCCUGUGCAGAAGAGGUGAUCCAGGUGAUUCUGGAAGAGAUUGGAGAUAGACGUUUCUCCAUACUUAUUGAUGAUACUCAUGACAUUGCAAGCAAAGAGCAUAUGGGCAUAAUUUUGAGAUUUGUGGAUAAGCGAGGGAAGGUCAUAGAAAGAUUUCUCGGUCUUGAGAGGGUCGAAGAUACCACACCAGCCACAAUCAAGGGGAAUUUGGUUGGUUUUCUUGUUCGGCAUGGUUUAUCCAUUUCUAGGAUACGAGGUCAGGGCUAUCAUGGACAAUCAAACAUGAGAGAAGAGUUUAAUAACGUGCAGAGACAGAUACGGGAUGAAUAUCCAUAUGCUUCCUAUGUCCAUUGCUUUGCUUGCCAGCUGGAAAAGAUUCUUGUUUCUGUCUCAAGUUCUUCUUCAUCAGCAAUUUCUUAUUUCUUCUACAAUGUGCCGAUAAUUGUGAAUGCCACGAGUGCACCUUGCAUGACAAAGAGUGCUGAAAAGUGUCGCCAAGGAAUUUUGGAUAAGUUGGAUGGUGGUGAAGUCUCCAAAAGAGACAAGCGUCAAAAGGUGCCAGGAGAGACUAAAUGGGGCUCACAUCAGACAACCUUGAACCGUAUUGACACAAUGUGGGACACAGUGCUUGAGGUGCUAAUGAUUGUGCAUGAACAUGGCUGCCGAGAUUCCCGAGCAUCAUUUUCAAUAGAAACAAUGGAAAGCUUUGAAUUUGUCUUCAUUUUAAAGAUGAUGUUAAAAUUGUUUGCCACUAUGAAUGAACUGUCACUUGUUUUACAAAGAAAAGAUCAAGACAUUAUUCAGGCUGUGGGGUUACUUGUGGAUAUGAAUGAACGCUUGCAAACCUUGAGAAACAAUGGUUGGGAGGCUUUGUUUGAAGACAUCAAAAGUUUUUGUGCUGCAAAUGGAAUUCUAGUGCCAAAUAUGGAUGAACGCAUACCAAGUAUGGGCCAUUCACGGCUGGAUGGCAUAACUGUUUCUCAGCUUCACUAUUAUCGUGUUCAGAUUUUCUUUGCUGCUAUUGACUCCAUUGUAACAGAGAUUGGUCAUCGUUUCAAUGAUGGUUCUAUGGAUUUGUUAUUGCGUUUUUCCUAUCUUGAUCCAAGGAAGAACUUCUCCAAGUUUGAUGUGGAGAAAAUGUCUCAACUUGCAGAUAUUUAUUCUGAAGAUUUCUCUGAGGCUGAUCGUGCAAUUAUAAAUGAUCAACUUGAAGCCUAUAUUUGCUAUGUGAGAAGAAAUGUUGAAUUUACUUCCUGUCAUGAUAUUGCAAGUUUGGCUGCAAAGAUGGUUGAAACCAAGCAGCAUUUGGAUUUUCCGCUGGUGUAUCGCCUCAUUGAGUUAGCAUUACUCUUACCAGUCAUGACAGCAUCAGUUGAAAGAAUUUCGUCAGCAGCUAACAUUAUCCCUACUGAUCUAUGCAAUGAGAUACCUAUUGAUUGGUUGAGUGAUUUUGCCAUUUACUACAUUGAGGAAGACAUAUCUAAAGAACUUGAUGCUGAAAGAAUUUUAGAACGCUUUCAAAGUAUUGUAACUGGAAGGAUGCAGUAACCUUAUAUUGAUACUUACUGCCUCAGUGCUUGUUUAGGCAACCACGCACCAUCGUCGAUUGCCAGACCAUCGCCAUGGCAGCUCGUCGUAUGCGCCGUCGAUCCCGUCCGGCAGCCGGCCAUAGCAUCGUCUGACACCUCUGGCAGCCUGCUGACUGCUGCAUUGUCGACACCUCCGGCAGCCCGCCAAUUGCUGCGUCGUCGAUCCCAUCCGGCAGCACGCCGUCUGCGCCGUCGAUCCCGUCCGGCAGGCCGCCGUCGGCAACGCUGCCGUCCCCGCCGCCGCCGCCGCCCGGCAACGACGUAGCCUUCAUUAGAGGCCUCCUCGGCCUAGAAGACCAAGUGCAUCUCCUAUAGAAGCUUUACUGAAGAUUCUAAUGCAGCUCCCAUAUAAUUGUCAGAGAAACAUUGUGGGUCCAGGGUCCUUUGAAGUGGGAAUGCUCAUGUCUUCAAGGACGUAACAUAUGCAGAACUGUAACUGUAUAAAGUCACUCCUUGACCGUGUUUGCUUAAAUUUAGAGAAGCUAGUUAAUUUCUUAUAAUCUAGAAGUGCUCCCCCCUCCCUAUUGCAUCGUUUUGCCUGGUUUGUUUGUGCGAUUCCUAGUUUUGACCCUGUUGCUUCCCUUCCCUAAGUAGAGCCACAGCUAUAGAUACUUGCAUUGAGUUGAUCUGUUUCUCAGAAUUUGAUGAAGAAAGGUGGUGGUUCAUAUUUUGCCUCCAUUCCCAAUUGGACGUUUGAAAGAUUCAAAGUAUUACUUGCAUAAUGCGCAGUGUAGCUUUGAUGCUUCUUAAAUUUUUUUGUCUGGUUCAAGCAAUGGAACAUACCAUUAAAACGUCAGGAUAAAUGAAUUAGUAUUCAACUUCACUGUUUAUCUAUAACCAUGUCAUGUGCUAUCGUACCCAGCUUAGUUCAUUAUCCUAAAUCUAGUUUGCUCUUAGGGUGUUAAUUAGGAGAGAAAAGUUGCCUUCUUGGAGCAACAUGGACGAAGAAUUCAUAGGUUCUUGGAGUAACAUCGGCCAAAAAGUGCUGAGCCUCGUGAGCUGGGCGUCAGUUCUCUAAGCUCUUUUAUGUUCCUGAGAUGAAAAACUUGCACUCUUAACUGUGAUGCAGGUUUCCAGAACUCUCACUCUUCUACCAUUUUCUAGCACCACCUAUAUAUAUUGGCUCUUCUGGUUGUUACCACUCUCUGAAGACCCAUCAUCUUUCAUCGCAGAGUUCACAACUAAAUAUAUGUAGCCACUCUUCUCUAAUUCUGAUAAUGAGUUAAACUAACAUUGCUUAUGGCUAUUUGAGAAUCA